AAUUUGCCCAAACUAUAUUGGGGUGCAAUAUACCAUAGGCUUUUAGGACGACUGCCUUGCCACUUGAUUUCACGGGACUGCUUCACUGUUUGCUGUUAUUCUACCACUGGAGUCACUCUAUAUCAAAUCGAUCAAAAACUGGGACUCUUACUGCGAUGCAGCCUCGAAAAUGUCUUCCUAGGCAACAAAUCAGAGUUUCCCAGAAGCACCAACUGGUACACAUGUAGUCCGACGUCCUUCGGCGACAACCGCAAUAAUAAGUGAUCUAUCAAAGAUUGCUCACACGUUCUACUUUUUAUCUAUAAGACCGGGAAUUAGUGUUUCAUCAGGUUGUUCGACACAAGACAUUAGUUUCUAAAGCAGUGACUGUUGAUGAGAUGAAAUAGUUCCACCCUGAAAACGUUUUUCGGCUGCACUGUAACCAGUUGCAUUUAACAUCCCUGCCUCUGGUCCGUCGAAAGAUUGACAUUCAACUAUGAAGACCAGCAGUGAUGGCUUAGUCGUGAUUUGAAACAUCUUGUGACGGGGCACACCCGCCAAUUCUUUUCUUUUUGCUGAUGGAAAGAAAACAUCCAAAGAGCCCUACAAAACUUUUAUCCAUGUUCUG